rnacentral:tRNA from 1 species
AGAAACUUAGGUUAGACAAAACCAAGAGCCUUCAAAGCCCUAAACAGAGAACAAACACCUCUAGUUUCUG